GGGUGAGGUAGUAGGUUGUAUGGUUUUGGGCUCUGCCCCGCUCUGCGGUAACUAUACAAUCUACUGUCUUUCCU
rnacentral:pre_miRNA from 1 species